rnacentral:rRNA from 1 species
GCACGUAUAACAUUCAAUUUGGCAAGUCCACUGAUGGCACAAACCCUAGCUUCAACAUGUAUGUUAGCAACAUGAAACAUGAACAUGAUCCUAACAUGAACAUGCCAUCAGUCAACAUGAUUCUAGCAUUCAUCAGUCAACAUGAACAUGCCAUCAGUAUAACAUUCAUCAGUCAACAUGAACAUGAUUCUAGCAUGAACACAACUACGAGCAUGUAGCACAAAUCUUAGGACACACAAGCAGUAGCACAAGAAAAUUAUCCUAGCACACACAUUGUACAAAACAAGAACAGAUCAGUCCGAUUGGAUUCGAUUAGGAUCGCAUCCAAUCGGAUCUGCUAGAAUCCUAUCGAAUC